CCCCGGCGGGGGCGCGGCCUCGGCGCUCCCAGCAGCGCCGCCUGGCUCAGCCAGGUCCAGGAAGGCCUGGCGCAGCAGGGCCGGGCUUUCGCCGAGCGCGCAGCCUAGCGCCGAGGGCGGCUGAGGCGGGGGCUGCAGGCGAAGACCAGCUCGUCCUGGGGACUCUUGUCGGUGAGCUUGAGAUGACGGCGCCACGAGUUGAAGUUGGCUGCGUCUGGCUGAGUGUACUUGGCGUCCGGCGUGCGGUGGGAGUGGAAAAUGAACUUGUUGGGCGAGAAGUACAUGUUGCAGUAGCUGCAUUUGAUGCACUUGGCGCGCGAGCUGUUGUAGCGCGCGGGGAUGAAGCUGCCGCGGCAUCCCCAGGCGCACUCGUGUGACACGUCGAAGGCGAAAUUGUCUGGCAGCUUGGGCGGCCUGUUUUCGCCCAGGAACGACUUGCACAGACGCUCGGCCUCGCGUUUGGUGAUCAUGCCGCAGCGGCGCGAUGAGAUGGGCAUGGCCCCGGCACGCCGCAGGAUCUCCAGUUGCACCGGCGUGCACUGCACACACGUGAUGCCCAGCGCCACGCGACGGUUGUGGAUCUCGUUGUAGCUGAAGUUCUUGAGCAGAGUGUUGGAGAUCUGCGCCAGGCACAGGCGCUCCUGCCCGUCGAUCACCAACGACACGAUGGGAAUGCCGUAGAGGAUCACCUGGCCCACCUGGUUGGGUUUGAGGUUGGCGUGUCCUGGCCGCGGCUGGCUCAGCGCGUCGGGCUGGAAGGCGCUCGACGGCGACGCCAGCAGGAUGUCGUUGGGCCCCGGCAGCGGACUGGAAGCCAUCUCCGCCGCAGAACCCCGGGCCGAGCCCUACAGGUCUGCCUUGGACACUGGAAGGGAAAGGAGAAAGCGUUGACUUGAGACUUUUCAGACUAAAACAGAGGGGUGGGAUGAGUCGCUAACCAAAGAAUUAGAAUAAGUUUCUUGCUUUGGUUAAGACAUGAUUAUUACUGGAAAAAGUGACCAAGUUUUGAACACAAGAAAGUCAUCUCUUAAUUUCCUUCAAGGUCAUCCUUUAGGAAUGCAGGAAUUUGCACUUCUAAACAUUUAAAGUGAAUUAACUAUGUAUUGUCCUCAAAAGCAGUGAAUUGUAAGAAACCUAAGACCUUAUCCCGGAUUUAUAGAAGCCGUUGGAAUAAAAUGGCUUGCUUCUAGAAA